CCAAGCCCAUGCAAGCGACGCAGCGGGCGCUGAAGGCGCUGGCGAGGAGCUCUCUUUUGACUUGGUCCUCCCAACGUGGCAUGCGCUUCGUGAGCAGGCCCGUUUUGUGGGCCGUUCUAUCAGACGUGGGGUGUCAUGGGCCCGGUUGUCGGUGAGUCUGAAGCGAGGUUUUUCUGGUCGAUCCAUCGAUCUCCGGGUCAAAAGCGGUGGCGUGGCCCAUGGGAGAUGGGAGGGAGUCGCGCAACACGUGUCGCUCGAUUGCCUGGGCGCUGGGCGGGCCUGUGUACAGAGGGGGGAGAGGGGUUGUUGGUGAGGGGUUUGCCGCAACCCCAGCCGAGCACAGACCAAGCUGGAGCGGGGGCUGGUGGGCGCCAAGGUGUUCUUGGUGUGGCUUCUCAGUCCAGGCGGUCUCCGCCGCCGCUGCAUUGGAAGGGAGAUGCCCUCUGCUCUGUUUUGGGGCGCCGUUCUCGUGGUCUCCUGGCUGCUGCUUCCGGCUAGGGAGGCUUCGGCUCUGCGUCAGGUCUUCUUCUUUGCCGUAUCGCUUUUGGGGCACCGUGGUACUCCCUCCGUAAACUGAUAUAAAAGCAUUUAGAUCACUAUUUUAGUAUUCUAAACGCUCUUAUAUUAGUUUACGGAGGGAGUACCUGAUACUUACGUUGUUCCUUCUCUUAUAUUAAGAUUUGUAUAUGUCGCUACAUGUUCAGUUUUUGGGUGGUGUAUUUCGAUUUUGUCGGUAUGUUAGUGUGGUGGUCAUGUUCCGGUUCCCACAAACCACAAUGUAGAGAAAGAAAACCCAUUGGAGUAUCUGAAUUCGCUCAAGGCGUCUAAUAAUCCUACCCAUUAUCUCAAGCUAAAACUUGUACUCCCUAUCAUUUUGUUGACGAUCCUGAAUCAAUCACUGGGUCUUUGCAAGGGGACAAGAUUGCUGAUUACAAGGCUUUCUGAUUUUGUUCUAGAGGGGAUUUCGUUGUAUUAACGGGGAUUGCAGUUGGAGAAUCUGUUUGUGUUCCCAGGAUAGUGCUCAAUGGGACCAAUCCAAAGUCACCUUUUGCUCUUCAACCUAGGCAGUUUCGUGUCAAGGUUUGUUAUGCAAUGACAAAUUAACACAAGUCUGCAUAUUCAGAUCGCUCACAGCAUGUACUCCAUCAGUCCGGCAAUACGAAAAGGCCGAGCUAACCUGGUUCUCAGGAUGGGCGUAUCUGUGUGAGAGUUUGUCGGCUUUGGGAACAUUGUGAUGAGGGCAGGGAUGCUGAGGUCCUGUGUCUGCAUAUGGUUUUAGGAGGCAAGAAGACAUAUGGCUAUCAUCGUUUUGUGGGGUUGGAAUGAAGGGCAAGUGGAUGCUGGUGAAUUGAUCAGGAGGAGCCGUGGGGAACCAGUGAUCAUGCUUGCUAUGGGGUGCAGUUUUAAGAUGCAGGAUUGUAUACCUCUUUAUGAUCUGCGCUUUCAUUUCGGUUCAGUGUUACACAAUGGUUGCGUGUUGUUUCACUUUCAUGCUUUGCUGCUGUCUUUGGUUCUAACUUUUUAAUUAAUUUGUAUUCUGGAGGUAUGGUUAUGCUGACGGGGAGCUACGGGUCGAAGUUUUCAAUCAGUCUUGCUAAUCCAGGUGUAUCUGGCUUACGUAACAAGUAAUUGUUGUUCUUAUCUGUUGAAGUGGCGUUAGUAUAAGCAGUGAUGUGUUCUUGCUGCUUGCUGACAGGGACCGGCAUUUUAGCUCCACUGGGAUGGAAGACGCCACAGUGGCUUAUUUAGCUCAUGUCAUUCCACGUGUGUUUAUGGUAUGCACAAGGCCUUCAGAUGCAAGAUAACUGUGGAGGCUAUACCAUCUAACCAAAAUUAUCGUGUGACCAGUAUAGCUGGAGUUUUUUUUUUUUUUGAGAAAUACCAGUGUAGCUGGAAGGCAGUAAGAUGGCGGUGGUUAUCAGUGUUCAAAGCUGGGCUGUGGGAGUUGAUCAAAGAAAUCACAGCCCACUUUUUCCUUACAUGCCACACAAGUAGAAAUCCCCCCUACGAAAUCCCUGUGGCACAACCAGCGCAGCGAACCGCGCCGCACUCGAAGAAAUCAUUGCUGAAUUAGAUACAGAAGGAUCAUGUGAGUGACUCCGGUGAAUGUGCCUAAAUAUCUCUACUGGCUUCCGCCUUGGCAUGUAUAAAUUCUACUGUAUGAUGCAUUGUCACUUUCAGGAAGAUGUAAAAUAUUGACAUGAUGUUGCAAGGCAACACGUUCUUCCCGUCAUUGUUGGGCUUUGCUUGAUGUUUUAAUAUUAUGGCUAUAAUGCUACUGCCUGAUAUUUUUUUAUCGUGUUUUUUUGUUCACAUAUAUAAAAACCUAAUACUGGAUGAUUUGCCCAGUUUUGACUAAUUUAGAAUAAAAGAGCUUGCUAAAAUAUACUCCCUCCCUCCCGUAAUUCUUGUCGUGAGGUCAUUUUUGCAAUUUAGUCCUCGUCGUUUUCCCGACCAAA